rnacentral:rRNA from 1 species
GGAUUAGAUACCCUGGUAGUCCACGCUGUAAACGAUGAGUACUAGCUGUUGGUCCUGGUGUAAAAGGAUUAGUGGCGCAGCUAACGCGCUAAGUACUCCGCCUGGGGACUACGGCCGCAAGGUUAAAACUCAAAGGAAUUGACGGGGACCCGCACAAGCGGUGGAGCAUGUGGUUUAAUUCGAUGCAACGCGAAGAACCUUACCUACCCUUGACAUCCUAAGAAGACGAAAGAGAUUUUGUUGUGCCUUCGGGAACUUAGAGACAGGUGCUGCAUGGCUGUCGUCAGCUCGUGCUG